rnacentral:rRNA from 1 species
ACGGGUGAGUAACACGUACGCAACUUACCUUAUGCAGGAGAAUAGCUUGAGGAAACUUAAAUUAAUACUCCAUAAUAUAAGAUUAAUAAUUUUUUCUUAUUAAAGAUUAAUAUUUAUAUUUUUCGGCAUUAGAUAGGCGUGCGCCUGAUUAGCUUGUUGGUAAGGUAAUGGCUUACCAAGGCAACGAUCAGUAGGGGACCUGAGAGGGUGAUCCCCCACACUGGUACUGAGACACGGACCAG